rnacentral:lncRNA from 1 species
GACUGUGUGAUUUUUGUUCUUUAGUAGAAGGAUAACAUGACAUAGCAGGAAUAAUACUGCCUUUUCUUUCUGGCAUGGAUCAAGAGAAAAGAAAAUACAAGAAAACAGACAGAAGAUCCUAUCUGCGACAAUUAAGAGCACUCUAAGAGGAAAACACAUCCCACCACGCAAGGCAAGGUACUUCUAUGGAAGGGUGAGCCCUCACAGAUGGAGCAAUGGGGCGCGCACACCUGAACAAGGGAGGGGAAGGAGUUCUUAUCCCUGAUGCAUGUGACCCCUGCUGCUGUGUCCUUCCCCUAUUGGCUAAGGUUAGACCACACAGCCUAAACUAAUUCCGAUUGGCUAAUUCAAAGAGAGCGACGGGGGCUUCUGACAGCUUUGGAGAUUGUGACAUUGGAAUAAAGGAAAAACGUACAGGACUCAUGAAGCGCUGAAAUGUUCACAAAUAUCAAGCAAGAGUCAAUGAAAUUUAUUUUGAGCUAUUUACAUCAUUUAAUAAUUGAGCAAGGUAUACUCCUAUGAACAAAAUUUGGAGCAUGUUUGUCUCUCUCUGCCUGGCGUCUUCAGAAUUUGGAAACUAGUGAAAAUUGUUGUCUUAUUUUCAUCCUCUUUAAAAGAUGGUUUAUAAUCAGCUAUAGAAUUUUAACACGUGCUCUCAAAUGCAAGUUUCUGAUAACUUUGGAGAUUGUGACAUUGGAAUAAAGGAAGAGCUGGAAUGUUCAUGAAUAUCAAGCAAGAGUCAUGGAAAUUUAUUUUGAGCUAUUUACAGCAUUUAAUAAUUGAGCAAGGUAUACUCCUAUGAACAAAAUUUGGAGCAUGUUUGUCUCUCUCUGUCUGCCUGGCAUCUACAGAAUUUGGAAACUAGUGGUGCUGUACUGCAUGAGAAUGCCUGCAUUUAGUAUGCGAACUGGAAUUGGCAAAGGACGAUGGCUGCUCUCCCGCUAACUUUAAAUAAGUCAUGUCACAAAUUGCAGUCGUUCCCAGAUUUCCUAAACUUUCCAGAGAAAAUGGUCUUCUCCCUGGCUCAGCAAGAAGAUGAACUUUAAACACUGAGAAACUGGUCAUCUCCCUGGCUCAACCAGAAGAUGAACUUUAAACACUACUCUCAAUGACUUGAUGUUCCCAUCACUACUCCUGUCAUAAAGGGAGGGGACUCAGAUAUUGAGAAUUUUAUGAUAGUGUGAACUGUCUGGUAUGUCAUUUAAGUAAGCCCGUUGCUGAAAUAUUUUCCAUGUUAUUAGAAAGAGCUGAAGAGAGGGAUUGAGAUGGCUUCUUUAUUUUUUGUCUUUUGGGAAUUAAAGGAACCUGGUUCAACAAGGGCCUACACCUAAGUCUCUUGUUGUACCAGAGUACAAUUUAGGACUGCUCCUGAGGAAGGAAUUAGCUAGAAAUCUAGAGAGUAAGGGUAACAGAUUUACAUAGAAUAACAGCCUCAGUAUUUUUGGUUCCUCUCCAGUAAAGAUCACAAAGAAUAUUGCUAAAUCGCUAAAACACCUUUGCAAUAACGUAAGGGCUUACAACUAUAUACCAAUGUAGCUCAGUUACUAAACUGGAGUAAACUAAUUUCUCUUGUGUAGAAAAAUUGGUUGGCUGUGGUUUUAUAGCAGAUCUGCAAUUAUUAAUAGUUAUGCCAAUAAUCGUUUAACAGUGCAUAUGUUAAUAUAUAUGGAAAGACAAUGUGUAUAGACAGAUGUGUAAAAUUGAAAAAUAAACAUAUAACAAGAGAGAAACAUCUAUCGAACAGACAAUAUACAUACACAUCAAACACAACAGCAGUUUUAGUGACCAUAAUAUUUAUUUCUCAUUUUUACAUUGCUUACUUUAGUGACAACUGAAAAUGACAGUUGGCAAUGCAGCUAACAGUUUCAAUAAAAGUAUAAAACAAAAGACUGUGUACAAAGCACCUGUCUUUCCGCUUUUGUAAUCUUCCGUUGGAAAAAAUUUACACACCUAAGUAACCAUCUGUUUUCUUCAAGAAAAAAUCAUUCUUAUUUCUCUCUCUCAUCUUGAAAACAGCUGUCAGCCAGGAGGGCAGAGCUGAAAUUUAUUGCCACAUCACAUGAAGCAUAGAACAGACUCCACUACUCCUUGAGAUUCAAAACUUUGCCUCUCACAAAGUUACCUUUUAUUUUCCUCUUGUUUGUCACUCAUCUCCCCUAGUGUGCUCUUUUUAUUUCUUUUACUAUUAAUAAUAAAAUCUGUGGAUGACUGUAUUAU